UGAUUUGUUCUCCGUGCUCACAGAGCGCGUCACCAGGGGGCACCGUGCGCUGCGCCUCCGGUCUCGAAGGAUCUAACAAGCGGUUGAUGCAGCUGCGAAUGUGUAGUCAGUCGGUUUUUAUCGUUUUAUGUUGUGCAGAUUGUUAGUUCACCGUAAAUAUGUCUUGAUUUGUACUCAAGAAUGGAGCAAGGCCCUAAGGAACAGAGAUUGACGCAACGGGAGCGAAGAACAGAAGCGAUGGAUGGUUACGCUGGUUGACUCUCGGCAUGUUCAAAAUGGCGAAGUUCCGAAUUUGUCGCUGUGUGACGUGCGCGUGUGUGCUCGUGAUGUGCCGUCAUAGCGCGGGGAUAUUUGUGCUGAAUGUGUUUCACUUCGUCUACAAAACUCUGCACGCAAUGGCAUCGAAGAAGUCGUGUGUUCAGGUGCACGUAUGUGCAUGCUUGGAUACGGAAAGCCUGCCCUCAACGGUAGCGCUGAGCUCAGCCGUGUUGGCUCAGCGCUACCCCCUCAACGGAUGUUCAACAGUCUACGUGCUCGUAACUUGCUGACGAGACCUCCUUGCUGUUGCAACUCUGAGGACAAUUGCUUCAAAUGGGAAGGAACAACCAGCACUGCCAGCGCUAUUUGUACAUGAGGACACCUCCUUGCUGUUGCAACUCUGAGGACAAUUGCUUCAAAUGGGAAGGAACAACCAGCACUGCCAGCGCUAUUUGUACAUGAGGACACCUCCUUGCUGUUGCAACUCUGAGGACAAUUGCUUCAAAUGGGAAGGAACAACCAGCAGUACCAGCGCUAUUUGUACAUGAGGACGACGAGAGGGUUCCACUCACCCCCUGUGUGGUGUAUUCUGGCCACAACCUGGAACAGGCAGAGUUUCUCCACCUCUGUGUCGACAAGGAGCGGCUGUUCAUGGUCAAAAAUGCGGAGGAAGGGGUCAUCGCAAUCAUGAGUGCAUUUUUUUAUUGAACAUAGUAUAUGGGCCUAAAUACUUCAACACCAGUGCAGUACUGGAACGAUUGUUUUUUCGUUUGAAUGUAAUAAUGCCAAGUGGUUGUUACAAAGUUUGUGAACAGAGUUGUGCAGGCAAUGCGACACCGAGGUUCAUGUACGUUACCAUACGAAUGCUAGCCUGACAAUUUUUUGCAAUAGCUUGAGCAAUAGUUUUGUGCAAUUUUUAAUGUAUCAUUUUCUUUCUUUUUGAUCACGAUAAUAGCAUGAUCCAGUAACUUCCGCUGCUUGUGCCAACCACCUAUAGACUGCACCUUUUUUUGUUCUGAUGACUUGACAGACAAUGUAAUAGUGCCCAAGUGAAGGUCAGCAAAAAACAAACGGGGUGUACUGUAGUCUGCACGUACUUAUCGAAAACGUUGCUGGGUGUUGCUAUGUGCUGAAAAGAAUAUUACAAUACGUCUAGUUCUAAUGAGGUCUGCCUUAACAUUAAUGUGUGUGAAACAAUUGUCAGCAGUUUUAUACAAAGAUUAUAGCUUGCUUGCUCUUCCUUAACAUAGUUUGUUUAUGAAACCUAUUGCCAGUCAGGGAACAAUGUCCCAGCUUAUAAGUACUGCAUGAUACAACUGUUAACGUUUGUAUUCCCUUAUAGGGCACAUCAACACUGGCAGCCAGUGCUCAACUUUUCGUAACAUGCUGCUUGGUCAAUAUUUUAUAUUUUGCGCAUGUGUUGCAUUGUGUAACCUACCCAAUACAAGUGAAAGUUUUUGUGGUUUGACUGUCCUUUGAUGAACUAUGUUUUAUGUUUAUUAUGUAUAACUUAGCAGCUGAGGCCUGACAUACUAGUCAAAACGCAGCAGAGUAUCCAAUUUUUAUAAGGUUUUACAAGGUUUUUACAAGUUUUGGAUUGUAAAACAAUGUUGCGUGGAACAAUUAUCAGGCUGAAGUACUGUUACAUUGUCAUGAAUACCGGCAGCCUUUGCUUAACCUUUAUGAAUCUGCUGGCAGGCUGUAGUAUAUUUAGCUCGUUUAGUUUUUGUACAUGUGUUGCCAAUGCCUCAUCCGAGUGAAAGCUAGUCGCUUAUAUACUACAUAUACUGGUGUUUCUACAAAGAAUUUACGUAAUAUUUAAAUAUAGCCGUUCUGAAGUACAAGGAUGGCUCGUUAGAAGACAGCAAUGCUCUCAGUGGUGCCGACCAUGGGUGGAUGGGUGAUAUCUGGUAAUUAGUUGCUAAUUAACAAUCUAAUAUAUCUUACUUUUAGUUUCAGCAGACUCAUUGUAACCAGGAAAUUAAAGCAAGCUCUCUGCACAAGACAUGUGAACUUUUGGAUCUGGAAAAAUACAAUUACCCGCAGAACUGUGGCGUGAUGAAUUUAGGCUGUCUGAGCACGCGAAACUGAAACUGAGAUGCUGCUGAAACUCAAGGCAACAUUUUGCUUACGUCGCCCAGCAGCGGGCUACCAGCACACUGCACGAAUCCCUAUUGCUGCCCACUGUUGGGUGAUGUGAGCAGAAUGCCCCCUCGAAGGGCGCGUCUUUGUGCUCACUGUAGCCUCGGGUACAGUUUCGCGUGCUGUGAUAGCCAAAGUUCAUCGUGCUGCAGUUGUGUGGGUAAUUGCAUUUUUUCCAGAUUCUAAAGUCUAUAUGUGUUGUGCAGAGAGCUUGCUUCAAUUUCCCGAUUACGAUGAGUCCACUCAAACUAAAAAUAAAAUGUAUUUUAUUUUUGUUAUUUAGCAACUAAUUACCAUGUAUCACCCAUAACCUCGUGGUCGACGCUGCUGGUGGCAUGUCUCCAAAGGAACCGUUGUUUUAUUUCAGAACGGCUGUUUUUACAUAUCAGCAAUGUGUUUGUAGAAACACCCUUACAGAGUUGUGUGAUAUACUGUUGAACAAAUCUUAUUGUGUACUCAGGUGAAAUAUGCACAGAUGAAGAGCAGAUAUAUACGUGGUGUCACCUCUAAUAAUGUACUAUAAUUUUUUUGUGUGAAGGCCACCACACAGUUUUUUUUUUGCAAAUGGCUGCUCUGUUUUUACUCACUCGUACUCUCUCACUUGUACUCAGUAUACAUGUAUAUUAUACCACAGAUAUACUGUGAUCCAUGUGAAUUACUGUGAUCAGUUGCAAACUAUAUAUUGUUAACUGCAGUGAUACUUUACAAAUAAUGUCUGUAUUUUAUUGCUCCUUGUAUGAAAUACAAUAAAGUUCAUUCACAUUUUCUUUUCAAAUUGUUACAUAUAGGUCUCAUAUAUAUGCUUCACCAUUUAGUUAAGCUUUGCAUUUUUGUACGAAUGCAGCAGUGACUUCUUUUGCAUGUCCAUGGAGUGAAGCAGAAUACAUAUUAGCCAGAGAUCUAAGACAUGCUAAAUGUGAUGUUUUUGUGUGUGUAUAGUGCAUGUGUACGAUACGUAUAACUUGUGUUUGAAUUGUAUAGCUUGAGCAAAUUUAAAAAAAAAGUGAUACAUCUCCGAUGACUGAGACCAUGAUGCAUAUUGAACUCCUGCAUAAGACAACAUGCACUUUUCAAAGCACGGCUCAUGGAAUAAUAUUUUAAAUCUCCAUAUGCAUUAUACAUAUAUAUUGUUUAACUAUAAUUUAACUUAAAAAACAUUUAAGUUCAGGCAACUGUAAGCAAUAUGCCAUAGGUCUCAUUCAUCUAUAAAGUGUUCCACUUUAAAGUUCGGUUCAAGCUAUUUGACAUCUGGUACAGGGGCUGUACACCCAUCUGGCACCCUCCACAGUGGGUGUUAAAUAAGGAAAAAUAAAUGAAGGGUGUAGCUGCCACCCUUCGGUUGGGGUGUUAUCACAACACCCUACAGUUUCUUUACAUGGGCACCCUUGUUUUAGGGUGUGCCGAAAAGGCACCUUGUAAAAUAGGUGCUAACUUACACCCUUAGGGUGUCGUCUCUGCGACAAGCCUAUUUACACCCUUCUGGGUGUAAAAACUUUUACUG